AAAUCUGGUUGAUCCUGCCAGAGGCGACCGCUAUUGGAGUUCGAUUAAGCCAUGCGAGUCGAGAGCUUUAGGAGCUCGGCAUACUGCUCAGUAACACGUGGAUAACCUGCCCUGUGCUCCGGGAUAACCUCGGGAAACUGAGAAUAAUACCGGAUAGUCCACCACGCCUGGAACGGUGGGUGGAUCAAAGGUCACGGCACAGGAUGGGUCUGCGGCGUAUCAGGUUGUAGGGGGUGUAAAGGACCCCCUAGCCAUUGACGCGUACGGGUUGUGGGAGCAAUCGCCCGGAGAUGGAUUCUGAGACACGAAUCCAGACCCUACGGGGUGCAGCAGGCGCGAAAACUUCACACUGCAGGAAACUGUGAUGAGGGAACUCCAAGU
rnacentral:rRNA from 1 species